rnacentral:rRNA from 1 species
GACGAACGCUGGCGGCGUGCCUAACACAUGCAAGUCGAACGGAGAGAUACGAGAGCUUUCUCUUGUAAAACUUAGUGGCAAACGGGUGAGUAGCGCGCAAACAACCUGCCCAACGGAUGGAGACAACAGACGGGAACGACUGCUAAGACCCCAUAGACUCCGGUUUUGCAUGCAAUCUACAGGGAAGGUCGGCUCUCGAAGAAGCCACCGCCGCAGGAGGUGUUUGCGUUUGAUUAGUUAGUCGGGGCGGUAACGGCCUACCAAGGCGAUGAUCAGUAGCCGGUCUGAGAGGAUGAACGGCCACACUGGAACUGAGACACGGCCCAGACUCCUAGGGGAGGCAGCAGUGGGGAAUCUUCCGCAAUGGACGAGAGUCUGACGGAGCAACGCCGCGUGAGUGAAGAAGGCCUUCGGGUUGGAAAGCUCUGUUAUUCGGGAAGAACGAUUCGUUUGUAAAUAAUGAGCGGAAGUGACGGUACCGAAAGAGAAAGCCACGGCUAACUACGUG